GAUGAACGCUGGCGGCGUGCCUAAUACAUGCAAGUCGAGCGAACGGACGAGAAGCUUGCUUUUCUGAUGUUAGCGGCGGACGGGUGAGUAACACGUGGAUAACCUACCUAUAAGACUGGGAUAAUUUCGGGAAACCGGAGCUAAUACCGGAUAAUAUUUUGAACCGCAUGGUUCAAAAGUGAAAGACGGUCUUGCUGUCACUUAUAGAUGGAUCCGCGCUGCAUUAGCUAGUUGGUAAGGUAACGGCUUACCAAGGCAACGAUGCAUAGCCGACCUGAGAGGGUGAUCAGCCACACUGGAACUGAGACACGGUCCAGACUCCUACGGGAGGCAGCAGUAGGGAAUAUUCCGCAAUGGGCGAAAGCCUGACGGAGCAACGCCGCGUGAGUGAUGAAGGUCUUCGGAUCGUAAAACUCUGUUAUUAGGGAAGAACAUAUGUGUAAGUAACUGUGCACAUCUUGACGGUACCUAAUCAGAAAGCAACGGCUAACUACGUG
rnacentral:rRNA from 1 species